rnacentral:rRNA from 1 species
UACGGAGGGUGCGAGCGUUGUCCGGAAUCACUGGGCGUAAAGGGCGCGUAGGCGGCGCGGGGAGUCAACGGUGAAAGCUCGGCGCUCAACGCCGAGUCGGCCGUCGAUACUCCCGUGCUCGAGCACUGUAGAGGCAGGUGGAAUUCCGGGUGUAGCGGUGGAAUGCGUAGAGAUCCGGAAGAACACCGGUGGCGAAGGUGGCCUGCUGGGCAGUAGCUGACGCUGAGGCGCGACAGCGUGGGGAGCAAACAGG